rnacentral:rRNA from 1 species
CCCUUAGAGUUUGAUCCUGGCUCAGGAUGAACGCUGGCGGCGUGCCUAACACAUGCAAGUCGAACGAAGCAAUUGAAGGAAGUUUUCGGAUGGAAUUCGAUUGACUGAGUGGCGGACGGGUGAGUAACGCGUGGAUAACCUGCCUCACACUGGGGGAUAACAGUUAGAAAUGACUGCUAAUACCGCAUAAGCGCACAGUACCGCAUGGUACAGUGUGAAAAACUCCGGUGGUGUGAGAUGGAUCCGCGUCUGAUUAGCCAGUUGGCGGGGUAACGGCCCACCAAAGCGACGAUCAGUAGCCGACCUGAGAGGGUGACCGGCCACAUUGGGACUGAGACACGGCCCAAACUCCUACGGGAGGCAGCAGUGGGGAAUAUUGCACAAUGGGCGAAAGCCUGAUGCAGCGACGCCGCGUGAGUGAAGAAGUAUUUCGGUAUGUAAAGCUCUAUCAGCAGGGAAGAA